rnacentral:rRNA from 1 species
UACGUAGGUGACAAGCGUUGUCCGGAUUUACUGGGCGUAAAGAGCGCGCAGGCGGUCGAUCAAGUCGAGUGUGAAAGCCCCCGGCUCAACUGGGGAGGGUCAUUCGAUACUGAUCGACUCGAAGGCAGGAGAGGGUAGUGGAAUUCCCGGUGUAGUGGUGAAAUGCGUAGAGAUCGGGAGGAACACCAGUGGCGAAGGCGGCUGCCUGGACCGGUGCUGACGCUGAGGCGCGAAGGCGUGGGGAGCGAUCCGG